rnacentral:misc_RNA from 1 species
GAUGAAGAACGUAGCGAAAUGCGAUAAGUAAUGUGAAUUGCAGAAUUCAGUGAAUCAUCGAAUCUUUGAACGCACAUUGCGCCCCCUGGUAUUCCGGGGGGCAUGCCUGUUCGAGCGUCAUUACAACCCUCAAGCUCUGCUUGGCAUUGGGCCCCGCCAGUUCUGGCGGGCCCUAAAGUCAGUGGCGGUGCCUUCCGGCUCCGAGCGUAGUAAUUCUUCUCGCUCUGGAGACCCGGUUGUGUGCUUGCCAACAACCCCCAAUUUUUUAAGGUUGACCUCGGAUCAGGUAGGGAUACCCGCUGAACUUAAGCAUAUCAAUAAGCGGAGGA